AACCCAAUGGCAUAGUGGUUAAUGCGCCUGCUGAAGUUAGGCCGUAGCUUACAGCAUAAGCAAAAGACCCUCGUUCGAACCGGGGUUGGGUCA